rnacentral:lncRNA from 1 species
AAAUAAAUAAAUAAUUAAGUAAAUAAGAGAUUAAAAUACUUAAUAAUUGAUUAAAUUUUUUGAUUGAGUGAAAUUUUUUUUUUGGGAAGGCGAAAGGGUUUUUUUUUUUUUUUUUUUUUUUUUUUUUUUUUUUUUUUUUUUUUUUUUUUUUUUUUUUUUUCUGUGUUUUGGGUGCGCCAGGAGGCCCACGAGGCCCGCUAGCUCGAGCAUGAGGCCGCGAGCGCGAGGGAGCGCGAGGGAGCCGCGAGCCUGGAGCGCGAGGGAGCGCAAGCCGCAAGCGGGAGCGGGAGGACCGCGCAAGCCGCAAGCGCCAAAUUUUUCGCCGAAUAAUUCGCGACUCGCGAAUUAUUCGCAAAUAAGUAUUUUUAACCAAAAAUACGCGUUUUUUUCCGAAUUUUUCGGAAAAGUACGAAUUCGGCCGAUUAAUUCGUUUUUUCAAAAAUUCGCGAAUAAUUCGCGAAUUAACUAACAUAGGUUUACCGUUAACCCUUUACUGUUUUACUGUUUUAAUUGCAGAGGAAGCUUAUAUAGGCUACUACAUAGGCCUGGGGCAAAAGAAACUCUAGAUGAGAAGCGCCGUUUAAGUAUGGCUUUUGAUGUGGUAUACCUCUUAACUAUAUUUUCCUCCCUCUAAUAUAGUUCUUUUAAUAGUGUGGAAAGGUUGGUCUGAGAUCGUGCCAAAAAUUAGUAGUUUCAAUUGAUAUUGAAUGGGUUCUUUAAGGGUGACAAAUUCUCGUCAAUUUUCUGACUGACCAUGUUUGUUUUAUACAGGCAAAGGGAAUGAAUUAUCUUCAUAAGCGAAAUCCUCCAAUUGUUCAUCGAGACUUAAAAUCUCCAAAUUUGUUGGUCGACAAAAAAUAUACUGUGAAAGUAAGAUACUACCAUCGUCUGGAUAUAUCAGUUUAUAUUACUAGCCUCUGUUGCCACCACUUUCUUAGCAGCUACUAAAUUUACGUCAAUUUUCACCAGUUUUUUUCUAUGCAUUUGCAUCGGCAAUGGUUUAGACAACUAAAUUUUAGUGUAUUGGUAGUUACUUUAUACUUACCAACCUUCUAAAUCUUUUUAUUAGACCUUCUUUAUUCAGUUUCCAACAUGACUGGACUGGCUUUUUCACUUUUACAUUCGUGACUUGCAUCUAAGCUAGAAUGCUUUGUGCUAGGUUUGCGACUUUGGCCUCUCCAGGUUGAAGGCAAACACAUUUUUAUCUUCCAAGACUGCAGCAGGGACUGUAAGUACUGUACUCUAGUUGUCCAUUUUGUAAGUGUUAUUGCUUCGUUACUUAGUACAUUAACGAUAAUACUUUGGUUUCAUGCUGUGACUUGCUAACGUUUCUAGCCCGAGUGGAUGGCACCAGAAGUUCUACGUGAUGAACCAUCAAACGAGAAGUCUGAUGUCUACAGCUUCAGUGUUAUCCUGUGGGAGCUUAUGACCUUACAGCAGCCCUGGAGUAAUUUAAAUCCUGCUCAGGUUUGCACUCUCUCUCUCUCUCUCUCUCUCUCUCUCUCUCUCUCUCUUCAAUGAGUCUUCAACUAAGCUCAUGUCAUGCCUUGCCUCAUCAUGCAAAUAAUAUGGGGCCCUUAUGUUAAAAAACAAAUCUUGAUACCACAUGUAGUAUAACAAAAGUAGUUACAUGAAAUGAUUGAAAUCUGUUGCGUCAGUUGGGCAACUGAUGAAAUCAGGAUAGCGGUUAGUUUAGUAUGAAAUCUCUUCUACAUACUACAUGAUGCUAAAGUACAAGGUGUUUCUUCAAUGAGGAAAUUACACGGUGUUUCUUAUAUGAGUUACUAAAAAGAUUUAUUUUAGUACUGAAAGGAAGCUGGAAGAAUGUAUUAAUAUUCUCAUACACUAAACCUUCUCGCCUGUUAAUGUAGCUUGAUGAUGUUUCCUCGUACAGGUGGUAGCAGCUGUUGGUUUUAAGGGGAGAAGGCUUGAUAUUCCAAGCGAUGUAGAUCCACAGGUGGCUGCAAUAAUUCAGUCUUGUUGGGCCAAGUAUGUACAAAAAAAUUCGCUACUUAUUGUAAUUCUCUUGUGCUGUCUAUUCUAUCAUGUUUUCUUAUGGUCGAAAAUUUAUCCUCCAGUGAGCCAUGGAAACGGCCUUCUUUUUCCAGUAUCAUGAAAUCGCUGAAGCCGCUAAUCAAGACUUCAACCUCUUACCCGGCUCAGGCAGAAAGUUAGCAGUUAUUCAUUUGGCUCCCUCUUGCCAAACUAAUUUGAAGGCGCAGGGUUACAAAGGUGGCUUCUUGCCAUCCGGAGUCCUAUAUGACAAAUGGCAAUGAAUAACGGCUGGUUAUAUUGUUGACUAGUCCAAUCUAGAAAGUUCACUUUAUGUUAGUGUCUGUCUGUCCAGUGACAAAUUUUCCUGGAGAAUCACCAUAAGAAGUGGAAAUAGCAUGUCACGUGUACAUACAGUGAUGUUACUAACAUAUUACUUUUGAUCCAAAAAUGCGUGCGUUUCAUUUUAUAUUGGGUCUAUUGGCACUCAUACCCCUCCUGCUGGUUGGGAAUCCAGGGAUUUACACGCGGAUGCUGAUGCAAGCUGCAUAAGGAAUCAUCAUCCGAACAUUAAGUCAAAGAGCAUUCAGCGUCUGAUGUAAAGCUACAGUAACAGGCACGGUUGUGCUGUGAUUAAUUCGGAGGAAGAUGUAGCAUUUUAACACUAGGUCGUCAGUAAUCUUUAAUGGUCUGUUCCAUAGGGUAGUGAAGUGCUAUACAUGAACGAUGUUUGCAUCAGCGAAAAGAAGAGCGGACCGACUUAGAUUGUUCUUGAUCAAUGAAAGAAGAGCAGUUUUAUGCUAAAUCAAUGGUUGUAAGUGUCUGUAGGUUCUCGUUCUAAGCAUGCUGUAAGCCAUGAAAGAGACGUAAAACUUCACAGCAUGGCCAGUCCUCAUCGUGUCGCAUGCAGGGCCUUUUGUGCAUUGGAGUAGGGGUGAGCAAAAAACCGUAGGGUUGAGAGUCUAAUCAAGCCUGGUCCAAAAAACAUCUUCCCCACCAUUUUGCUCCCCCUCUCAUCCAUCCUACAGGCUACAGCUUCGGAACCCGAUACAUAAUGCGGAAAAGGCUCGACUUUCGAACAAGGAGCGGUAGCCAAAAUUGGGCCCGAGGCCUAAUUACGUAUUUCAUUACUUGCCCGGCCCACUUAAUCCACCUGGACUUGCUCGGUUUGCUCCAGGCGCUGCGGCUAUUUCAUUCCCGCCCCAAAUCCUUGUUCCCAAAUUUCUCUUCCCUCCAUCGUCCUCGACCUCAAGGGAGUUCGAAUUUCGCUAGCGUUCAUCGUAUCUUAAUUUUGAAAUAGAGAGAGAGAGAGCGAGCGAGCGAGCGAUCACCUUCUUUUACUUCGCCACCAUCGAUCGAUCCAUUGGUGGCGAGCGUUGAGGACGAGGACUCCAUGAAAAUGUAGUUUACUGAGCUCGCUUUCAAUUCGAAGCUCGUCAUCACUAUGCCCGCCAUCAACGCCGGCGAUAAUGCGCUGUUCUUCGCCGAUGCGAUUGCCGCAACCACCGUAUACGGUGACAUUUCUCCACGUGAGGUGACUCAUCUUCCUCUUAUCUGAUUUCGACCAUUGUGCUUCAGGAUGUUGUUUUGUGAAGAGAUUCACGAUCCACAACAAAGCGGAAGGGAAUAAAAUAAUUGUUGCACGUGAUGUUGUAUUCUUUUAUUCUAGUUGCUAGUUAAGCAGUUGCCACUUUAAAUUUGAGUUCCUAAGUUUGAUCUAUGGUUCGGAAUGUUAUUGGAAUAGAAUUUUAAUUGCAUAGUUUGGAUGUUGUGCCUUAAUGGUUUUCCAUCUCUAUUGAUUUUCCAGUGAACGAAUGUCAAUGAUGAUGGCAAUCAGUUAUGUCUGUAGCAUAAAUAUGAUUGUGCUGCAAUUAGAGGGUUUUUUUUUUUUUUAUGUUUUAAUUCUUGCUGAAUGCCGCAUUAUUGUGUUCCAUGUAGAAUAUAGAUAUCCCAUUAAAAAAUGAAAAGUGUUGCAUACAAAUGUCUAAUAUCUGCUAUCUGACUACUGCUUAUUCUCUAUCUGUCUUUUCCUUUGUUUGCAUGGAAUAGAGGGUAGGCUCAGCUCAGCCUUUUUUAAUCCUUCCUAUUUUGUUUCUUCUCAAGUCUCUACCCUGUUCAAGUAUUUUUUUUUUGAUUAAACAGGGGUAAACCCUAUUUUACAAAGGUGAAGAGAUUACAGGGGUAAACCCUGUUCAAGUAUUUUAUUUGCCUGAACCAUCUGGAUAGGGAUGGUGAUGGUGGGAGUGUAUAUAGCAGAGCUGUCGAAGUGAGUCGAAUAGCGCGCGCAAAGUGUAACAGGAGAGGAACAAUUGAGAAUUAGGACGCUGUCAUGUACAGUGAAUUGGUUUGCUUUAAGAGUAAGACACAUGACUUUGGCAUUAAAAGGAGAAGUGAAAGCUGAACCACAGCAAAGUGCGAGUUGAUUUACUUCCUUAUCAGUCCUUUUUUUUUGUUAAUUUAACAAUUAACAAAUAGAAUUUUGAAGCUACUCUAGUGGUUCAAGUUUUUAAAUCCAACUCUAAAAUAGUUACAUUCUUUGUCAUUAGUGCUUGUAAGUAGCUUGAUACUUUUCUAAAUAUUCCUGUGCAAGCACCUAAUAGAAUAACAGUUUUAACGUCUUUGCUUGUCUUUUUUGUUUUGCAUGAUCAGAUGACUAGUUGAUACUAAAAAAAGGAAAUUCUUUUUGCUAGGUUUUUACAGUGCUGUAGUCUGUCUUAGAAGGCAGAUGCCUUCUCUGAAUCAGAUAUCAUUGAUUGUGGUUUGCUGCAGAAUCAUGCAACAUGCAAUGCCUUAGACGAAGUUUUCUUGUCCAUAAAACAGGAGGAACCAAUCAUUCGUCGGAGGAUUCAUAUUCCUGAUCACAAGUGUUCGAAAUAAAAAUUGCAAAGCUUGUUGCUGAUUUGUGUCACUGCUCUUAGUUUUAAUGAUGAUUUCUUCCCUGUUCCCAGUGUCAGGUGUGGGCGAUUCUUGGUGACACCCACUAUCUAUUUUGCCUUUUUACCUAUUUUGCUUUCUUAAUGCUUUGGCACAAUCUACAGCUUCUACCAUAAAAGAGAACAGGAACUAAGGGCAUGACUUCUAAUUGGAGCUUCACCAGAUUUGUCAUUUCAUCAAUGCUUAGAGAGGUAAGCUUUUGCUUUGAGAUGUGUUUGGUAUCUUUCCUUUUCAAUCUUUGCCUAUCAUAUUUGUGCGACUGCUUUUCAGAUCAUGCCCUUUUCAUUUUUCUACACUUGUUAAUUAUGCCAUUCAUCAUCCCUCGAAUUUUAAUUGUUCUUAUUUAGUUCUAGUUAGUAAAGUGCCUGUUUUUUCUGCCCGCUAUUCUCCCUCCUGAACUUAAAAUACAGGUUCGAGCUUGUUCAGGGUCUAGUUUGGCGCAACUUGGUUCGGACUAGUCUGAGCUUGCGCAUAAGGUUCUCAGCUGCAGUUGGGAUGGAACCUGGGUUGGCCUGGCCCUGCACAGCCCGUUGACCCGUACGCACAUGUGGGACUGUGGGAGUCACUGCAUAUGUGUACCUUUGACUUUUAGAUGCUUUUGGUAGUAUAAAGAGAACACAAUCGUCCUAGUAGAUGGCACAAUUAUUGGCCUCACUAGCGACCGCAAGUGGCUUACAAAUGGUUGGGUCCCAUUUGAAUCCUCUUUUAAGUUAGGAAUUUAGCAUUAUGAGUGCAGUAGCUCCAGCAGUGUUAAAAGUAAACAUGCACAUGGUUAUAGGAAAUUUGGAAUCUAAAGGCGCUUUGAAGGAGGAAGAGCCUUUGGGCCGUGCAUAUUUGUUUGUUCCUUUUAUUUUAUUUUCUUUUGGGAGAAUUUUUGGAAGGAAAACCUUCUACUAGCUGUAUCAUUAGAAAAAUGAAUUAAUUGGACUACAGCUUAAGACAGCAGGGUCUCAUGAUAAAGAAUUGGCCGUGCAUUUUGUUUGUCGCCUUUCGUGUGGUGAUUAGCUUCUGUUCUUCUUCAGCGUAAUAAUCCUAGUUUGCUUCUCUUUCAUUUCUCCGAGAUUUCUUUCCCAGGAAGAGCUAGAGAAAUUGAUGGUUUGCUACUCUUUCUAUUCUUAGAGAGUUAGGUUAAUCUUGGUCUAAUCAUCGUUACGAGCUAAUAUUUCAUAUCUCUAAUUGUUAGUUCUCGUAGCUUCUGUUAUCAGUGUUUACCCGUGAGGUCUCGGAAUGAAUUAAUGUGGGGUAGGUAAUUGUGGGAGGAAGUUGGCAGCUUUGACUCCAGGAGAAAAUCAUGAAAUAGGCUUUUUUUGUUGGAUGAGCUUUAGCUUUAGGUCAGUUGGAUGUGAGACAUGCAUGCCGAGUGAGGCUUCCUAGGCUGGUAAAAAGGCCAAUUUUGACCUGUGGAAACUGCCUACCCUACUUCCGUACUUCCCAUAUAUAUAGUUGUCAUGGCGUAAACCUUUCGGGGCGAUAGGCCUCUUUUAAAAAUUUCAUUUAACGAGUUGUUUUGCUUUAUUUCUGCUUAUACUUUCGGUCCUUGUUUCUAAUAGUGCAUUUAGAAAUGGUAGUAAGUUUGAAGCUUCAGUUAUAAUAAGAAGUGAAAAUUGUCAGAUUAUGAGCCUCGAAAAUAGAAGUUUUAGUUGGGUACUUGUAAUUCUAAGGCAGAAAAAAGCCAUUAGAGAUACUUUUUUUACAAACUAAUAAUAUUGCUUAAACGAUUCUGCAUUAAAUAAUACUACACCUUACAGCAAAUUCAAACAGACCCUAAUUAGAACAAUAAUGUGUGGAUUGAGCCCUUCAAGGACCAAAGAUAUAAUAAUCCUGUUUUAUGCUCUUUUUUUUUUUUUUUUAGGAAAUGAUAGCAUGUUACCCGCUUCAUUCAUUAGANAAAAAAAAAAAAAAAAUCCUACACUACUGAUUACAGUUGUGCUGAUUUGUUGAGAGAAAAUGCUCCCAAAGGUUCGUCAACUAUUUAAUCUUGUAAACUGCUAGGAGUGGGUCCGGGUGGGUAUUCCUAAAAUUUGCAACGUUUCUGACCUCCCACAUGGCCCACCAGCAGACUACUAGGCCGGUUAGCUUAGUACUCAUAGACCGCGAUCCAUUUCUAGCUAUCCACCUAUCCCAGAUGAAGUUCACAUCGUCACCCAAAUCUUCAGAUCGGACACUCUCCAAUGUUAUCAAAUCUCGAAAAAACAUACUAAGUGAACAUGUGAUCGAUAGUUUGCUCUUCGGUCCCACACAAUACAUAGGCCAUUUGCCGGUCCGACCUCUCUUUAAUAGGUUAUCUGCUGUAAGAUGCCUUUUCUUAAGGAGAAGCCAGUAGAAUACUUUCACUUUAAAGGGAAUUCGAAGUCUCCAAAUUAUGCUAGCUCGGGCGUCCCUCGUCCUCCCGUCAUUCAGUGCUGAAUAGGCCGAUUUGACUGUAAAGCGUCUGCUGGGCCUCUAUCGCCAGUACCCACUGUCUCGUCUUUGCUCAAGUUUGAAGAUCUUUGCCCAAAGUGCUGGAUAGUUUGAAAUCAAUCCGUAACGAAGAUUGUUGUCACCACGUAAUAUCUUGCUCCAAUUCCAAUCGUUGCUCUUCAGACAAUUGUUGAUUCUUAGAUUUUUGUGAAUCUUUGUAAGAAACAUCUGGGGAAAUGACGAUUACAGUGUGGUUUCCCACACCAGCGAUCUGACUAGAAGUCGAUGGUACUCCCAUUGCCCAGCUUAUAGUAAGUUUCCCAUUUGAAAAUUUUGUUUUGGCUUAAAACUCCCUUCCACCAAAAUGAGGAAGGUCUAAAGAAUCAUCCCUUCUUUAAAGGUUUUCUUCUGCUAUAAUAUAAGACAUGGAUGAUUUUGUUCCACUGGAGCUGGGGCACGGUAUGGAAUUUUCACCGCCAUUUGGUUAGGAGAGCUUGGCUCAUCGUAGCUACAUCCAAGAUGCCAAGUCCUCCCUCUUUCAAGCUCCUACAGACAUUCUUCUGUACUAUCAAACAUUCCUUUUCUGGUGGGUUGGUUCCUCCAUUCUAGAAAAAAUCUCUACAUAGCGCCUCAAACCGCUAUUAGUCGGAUUUUGUUUUAUGCUUGUUGAUAAGAAUAUAACCAGUUGUUUUCUAUUAGAUAGAUUUAGUUUUUAGAGGGGGGGGUGGGACUGGGUUGCUUAUAUGUGACUGGGUUGCUUAUAUGUUCUUAGGUAGUAAAAGGGUGCUAGUGCUACGUGAAGUACUAUGGCCAACAAUGGUUGCCUGACUUUCCCUCGUGCACAUCUUUUUGGGCCACUCAGUGGGUAAAAAGUAUGUAUAGUGGAGCCAAGUGAUUCAAAUGUCGGCUCAAAGUUAGAUGCAAACAUAUGGACAUGCAUGGAGGAAAAUAAUACUUCCCAUACUAUGAUGACUCUGAUGGUGUUUCUUUAAUUACAUCUUGGCUACUGACGAUCUUCUGACACUGCUUCGUAACACCACCCCUCAUAAACUACUCAGUUCACACUUAGCCACCCAACAACUAUAGCUACUGCUAUUUAGUUACUUAAAACUAUUACAGAGUUUGGCGACUUAAACUAUUACAUAGUUAGGUGAGAUACACUUGAUAAAGAUCAUUUAGGGUGAUUGGAUCCCCUAAUUGGUAUCGUUUUUCUCCCUACGGCUUGUGGUGGCGUUGAGUGUAGAUGUAGUCGAGAUGGGCCUCCGAGAUCACCCUCCUCUUCAGGCAUUCCUCAUUUCCAUCCUCGCACACCUCCAUUCCCAUCAGCUGCUACGAAGAAAAAGGAGAACGAAAAAAAAAAAAAAAAAAAACUUCAUUGAAGACCUUGGAAGCUUAAUAAUGAGGAGAAAGAUGAACUAGUCUAGUUUAUAAUACGGUUGUGCAACAGUAUAUGCUGGUAACAUGAGUCAGAAGAAAUCUUUUGAAUCCCUACUUACAUCCCAAGUAUCCUCUCUUUCCUCCUCUCCGACUUGACUCGCUUGCAAGAAGCCGGCGACUUUAUCAGAGUCUCUCCCUGAGAGCAAGAGAAAGCAUAAGCGAGCUAGAUUAGCAAUAAGCUUGUGGGGCAUAAUGCAGAAGCUGAUAAGUUGUAGUUUUAGAAGGACUUUUAGACUAUCACCUGCAGGUGGCGUUGGUGGGAGGAGACGAGAGGCCGUUGAAGUGCGGAGGAAGAGGAAGGUAAUUACUAGGAGAAGAAGAGUUCUAAGGACCCAGAGCGAGUGAUCAGAACUAUGAUGCUUCAUGGUUGCGUUCCAGCUACAGGGAGAAAAGGAGGAGCGUGCAUUAAGGUAGGGGGUGGGGGAGCAAACUAAGUGGAGAUGAGUGCUGUAGAAGGUGGGAAGAUAUUAGAAAUAUAUAUAUAUAUAUAUAUAUAGAAAAAUAAAAGGCAUGCGCACUUGAGGAGCUCACAUGAGAUGAUGAGAAGCCCAAAGCAUUGCACACGGCACAAGCGGUUACCUGCACCCCUUCUCUGCUCCAUCUGUGUGCUCUGUACUGUGGGGACCACUUUCCACUCACUGCUAAUAACCUUCCCACAUGCAUGCUCAUCUAGCUAGCUUUAUAUGUUUCCUAGCUUAACCCCCACCCCACCACACCCAAAUUAACCCCAUUGCGAACACGAUCUACAUGAACAUGCACACACACACACACACAUAUAUUAACCAUGCCGCGGAGAGAGAGAGAGAGAGGGAGGAGUUUCACAUUCAGUGUGAAUAGGACGGCAAACAGUACAGAAGUUAUUACGUGCACCUGGUGUAUCCGUAUGUCUCAAGCGGCACACAUCAUAUUCGCGGUCAUUUUUCAAAUAAAAAUUUAGUUGUAUAAAUAUAAUUUACAACAUUUAAAGUAUCCGAGUAAAACAAUCAUAAGCUUUAAAAAAUCUAUCGCGCAGGUAUCGAUCACCUAGCUAGUCUCAAAUAUAGGGACUUAGAAGGGUGAAUGUAGGGGGCGCACGGAUACACUGGUGUAGACAAUAGGUUAUAGUUGGUGUGGGUCCCAGGUCCCGGCAGAUGGAAGUGAUGAUAAUGUUAGGUGGCAGAGUUUUGGUUGUCGUUUUGAGCUCUAUGAUAGAGCGAUGGUCCGGGGAGGGUAACGGAGAAAGAGAUUUUGUUUUCUUUUGGGUUUUGGACAUAAAUGCUAGCAAGUCAACGGCCGGACUGUAAUGUCAGCUGCCUAAACAGCUAAUGACUUGUUCGCACGCUUCACAAAAAUAGGUGAAGAAAAAAGAAAGAAAUUACAUCACCAAACAUUUUAGGAUGCAUGCGUCCGGAGACAGAAAAAGCCACAGAAAUCUUUUCCUGAUCACACUGGAAGGAGAUUAAUCUUUACCUACUAAAGAAUCUUGUAGAUCUCAAAGUCGUCUUAGAAAAAUUAUGUAGAGUCGACGUGACUGUAUACAUCUUUUUGCAGGUUUUGUUUUAACUAUCGCGUGUCUUUGUUGCGUUAACGAAAGUAAUAUAUCAAAGAAGCAUCUAACCAGAUCAUGCAAGAUUUCUGACUGCGACGAUUAUGCCUAUAAAGAUAUUCAGCACCAUCAUUAGCAGCUUUGUUUCGUUAAGCCUUUACCUUAUCAAUCUUCCAAUUGGUAUUGAUUAUCCUCUCCUUCACCGAGAAGCCAUUAGUGAUUCGGCUUGAUCUCUAGCUCAUGAUAAUAUAUUCAUCUUAUCUUUUUUCCACGCGUAGGCAACCAGUCUUAAAUGUGUAUUACGUUUUUUUGUUUUGGAUAACGAGGAUUGCGUAAUAAAGAUAAUCUUCUAAAGUAAGAUCAUGAGAGAAUUAUAUAUGUUGUACUCUGGGGAGGAAGGAACAAUUGAUGCUCAAGUGGGCUGAGCAUAUAUGUACGAGGGGAUAUGCUGCUUAGUAUUUUAUUCUGCGUAUCAAAAUUCACUAAGAAGGAUCGAUUCACUUAGCCAUGGGUAAGGCUUUCAUCUUAACUUUUAUAUAUAUAUAUAUAUAUAUAUAUAUAUAUAUAUAGAGAGAGAGGAGAGAGAGAGAGAGAGAGAGAGAGAGAUGACAUGCUAUUCGUGUUCGUUUUUUUUUUUUUAAAUAAAUGAAGCUGAAAAUAUGAAUCAACUAAGAUUCAAACUGAGACCUCGGAUCGCUAACAUUAACUUUUUGCCACUUGCUCUAAGGACGGCCGUAGUUGCAUAGAAGAUACGUCUGGACAUUAGCCUAAGAUAUAACUUACAAUAAAAUCAAAUACAUAGCAGUUGCAUCCAACUUUGAAGUCGGCCAUUUAAUUGGAAAAACAAGGUUGGCUAAUAGGUGGAAUAUUCUCUCGACAUUGUCUGCUUCGCAUCUGUCUAACGUAAUGAUAAUGUAAAUGCUUUUAUUUAAAGGAAAAAACAAGGUAAUUGGACGGUUAUCACGGACUUUUAAGUUGCCUUUGUUUGUCUCACUAUGGUCCCAUACUAUAUAUAUAUAUAUAUAUAUAUAUUAAAAAAAAAAGGGUAAGUUGCACGUAUGGUCCUCAAACUCUGAGUCGAGUGACGUCCCUUCAAACUCUAAUUUCUUAUAAUUUUGAACUUAAAAUUUUAAAAUUAUUCAUGUUAUGUUUCAGAAUCUAAUAUAAUUAAUUAAAUAUUGUUGCAUUAUUAAUGUAAAAGAGAUGUGCUGUCUUAAUUUUUGAUGCAUCAUCGAUUACAACACUAUUACUUGGGUUAUAGAAUUUGACUGUAGUAAUUUUGAAAGUUUAAAAUAAAAAUUAUAAUAAAUUAAGAUUUGAGAACCAAAAUUUCACUCUCUUUAUAGUUGGUCAAUUAAAUUAGGUUAUAGAACCUGAUUGUAACAAUUUAAAAAGUUCGAAUUGAAAAUCACAACAAAUAAAAUUUUGAGGAUCAAGCCUGCAAUUUAUCCCCCCCCCCCCCAACAGAAAGGAUUUCUGUUGGGUUGCCGAAGAGCCUGGUGUGGGCCAGAGCCCAAAGGAAAGGGCUUUCGUCAGAGAGGACCAGGCCGGGAAUGGAGGCCACUUUGCAAUUUUAAGACACAUCAGUUGGAUUAAUGUAUAGGUUUACUAAUUUUCUUUGGAGCUGAGAACUUCUCUUUGUCGAAUGGAUUAUCUCCAGGUAUUUAUGGUUCUGGAAAGGGUACAGUUUUCCACAAUAAUAAAAGUUUGAAAGUGGAUAUGGAUAUUACAGUUAAUUAUUAAUUACAACUAAAAUCAGUUCAGAUCUCAGAGAGCUGGUUAUAUGUUACCCAUGUACGCGUAGUGCAACCCAUCACUCGGGGUAUUUCAUGAUGGAUCAAAUCACAGGGGGAUCAUGUUUCAGUGUCAUGCUUUGGAAACUGGCCUGCUUAAACUCUCAGCAGCAGCAUUAGGUUACUAAACGUUUUGUGGGAACUCGAAUUCUUCGCACAAGCUAAUUUUCUUUUAUAACCUGAAGCUGAGUUUUGUCAGCUGCAGGCAAGCGUUGCAUUUUGCAGUCCCAAGCAAUGCUUGUUCUUUUAUUAGUCCCACUGGACCAAUGUCCGAAUCCCUCGGCUGGGGUUCUGUUAGUUGUACAGAAGGUGAAGUCAAGUCGACCUAAAUUUCGGAUGAAUUAGAAUUUAGAUUGAAAUUAUAUUUUUUUGGCUACUUGAUUCUAUAGUUGCAGAAUUGAAGUUUUUUUUUUUUUCUUCUAAUUCGACUGUUUAUUUGAUAAUAAGUGAGUAAUAUAAAUUUUUUUAAAAUAUUUUACUACUGUUUUGGCAAUUAACUUGGGUCCGGAAUGAACCUAAUUCAAUUAUAAUAUUUUAAAAGAUUUUAAAUUUUGACCGAAAAUAAAGUAAUGGUGCGCUAAACGACGAGAGUGAAUAUUUAAAAUUGAAAAGUAUUAUAUUCCUCUUUGCUUUGAGUAAAAUAAAUACACCCUUGGGAUGGAGCCCUUGAGCAAGGGUUCUCUGGAUCGAGAGCGCCUAUUGUAGGUGCUCCGCAAGUAGGAACAAAAGUUCUGAGGCCCACUUCCGAAGACAAGUCAAUAUAAACGACUACCCAACUAAUAUUGAAGUUAAUGACGGCAACCUACCCCAGAAUACGUAUAAAUGAAAAGUGUUGAGGAGCUUACAUGUGAAAAAAGAAAAAUAAAAAUAAUGAAAGAGAGAUGCUUCGUAGGACCAGUAUUUAACAAAUAAACCAAAUAAUAAUUAAGUAGCUCGGGUAAUCAUCUACCAUAAUAAUUCUCUCUAAUAACUCUCUCACAUCUUAUCAAAGGGCUGCCGACGACUGGGGACUGUUCGUCUUCUUUCGCUAUUAGUGGGAGACGAUGGCCCACCAGUCAGACCCGCAACUUCAUGUUCUGAUGAUCAUCAGCUGCUGAGCCCACCCACAGAUCAAUAAUCAAUCAAUAACAAUAACAAUAAUAAUCGGGAUCGGGAUUUAAAAAUAGGUAAGGUAUACCCACCAAACCCACCCCAAAGAAAGAAAAAUAAUAAUACUACCACUAAGGAUAAUAAUAUAAUAAUCAUCAUCAUCAUAGAAACAAAAUUACAAAGGAAAAUUCUUUUUCUUUUUUCUUUUUUCUUUUUUUUUUAAUAAAAAGAAGUGGUAAUGUAAUUAGGCCUUCAACAAUUCAACGCCGGAGGGGACGGGCGAAGGUUGUGGCGUUGCUUUCACGACGACGAGCCCGCCGGGGAGGAGGAAGAGGAAGAGGAAGAGGAAGAGGAGGAGGACGAAGAGGAAGAGGAGGAAGAGGAGGGCGAUGCGCCUCCUCCUCCUCCGCCGCUCCAGGGGGUCAUGUCCAUGGGGUAGCUCCCGAGGACGCGGAGGAAGGAGGUGAACUCCUGGAUCUCGGCGAGGGCGUUCUGGGCCCUGGGCUCGGCCAUGGAGGCCUCGAAGUCGACGUAGAACAUGUACUCGAAGUGCUUGGCGGUGCCGACGUUGGCGUCGUCGACGAGGCGGAUGGGGCGGUGGCGGUGGGGGCGGCUCUCGAUCUUGGUGAGGCUGAUGUUGCGGAAGGCGAAGGCGGAGAGCACCUUGAAGAGGACGGAGGUGCCCUCGCGGUCGUGGGCGAAGACGAUGCUGGUCUUGAAGGGGCGGUCGGUGCGGGGGAUGAUGGGCUCGCGCGCCAGCAUCACGAAGCGCGUGACGUUGCCGGCGUCGUCCUGGAUGCCGUCGGCCAGCACCUGCAUCCCGUACAGCUCGGCGGCGCGGGCCGACGCGAUGGCCGCCGUGUCGCGCAGGCCGUUGGCGGCCACGUACUCGGCGGCCCCCGCCGUGUCGUCGAAGGCCUCGCGGGCCACGUUCAGGCCCAGCGCCGUCAGCGUCAGCUCGCACUGGGCCAGCGCCUGCGGGUGGCUGAUCACGCGCGUCAGGCACUCCUUGCGCACCCCGGGCAGGGCCAGCAGGCAGUGGUGCACGGGCAGCUGCACCUCCCCCACGAUGUGCAGCCGGUGCCGCAGCAGCAGGUCGUAGUUGCGGUGGAUGCUGCCCCCCAGCGAGUUCUCCACCGGCAGCACCGCGCGGUCCGCGAUCCACAGCUCCACCGCCUGGAACGCCACCUCGAACUGGUCGCACGGGAUCGCCUCGCAGUUCGGGUACGCCUUCCCCGCCGCCGCCUCGCUGUACGCGCCCGGCACCCCCUGGUACGCCACGCGCAGCUGCGACCCGUGCAUCGGCGCCGGCGACAGGUCCGCGAUCGACAGCGGCCGGGGCAGGUUCUCCACCGGCACCAGGUACGACGACCCCGACGACCCCGACCCAAUGUGCCCGUUCACCGCGAGCUUCGUCUCCUCGCUCCCUCCCCCUCCCCCGCCCCCGCCCGCGGCGGAGGCGGAGGCGGAGGGGGGCUUGUCUUCGUUGGUGGGGGAGAGCGCGGCGACCUUGCUGGAGAGGAUGGCGCAGGAGCUCUGCCACUCGGCGCGGCUGCUGUGGAGGAAGUGCGCGGAGGCGGAGGAGGCGUCGGGGCGGUGGAUGGCUCGGAUGAGGAGAGCUCGGGGUGGGAAAUUAGGGUCGGAUCGGGGGGCGAUUCCGUAGAGCAGCUUGUGACGGCCGAGGGAUGGUUGGAUGCUCGCCGUCGCCGUCGCCGUCGCCAUGGGGAUCUCCGAUUCCGAUCCGAUCCGGUGGUACAACCAAAACUUCCUUUUUUUCUUCUUCUUCUCCGAUUUUGGUUUGGUUUGGUUUGGUUGGUAGCUUUGGGGCAGAAUUAGUAGAGAGAGCUUCGGAAGGGGAGGGGAGAGGGAUAGGGACGGGGAAAAGGGUAAAAGGGGUGAAAAGCGAGUUUGGUGUUUGGUGUGGUCAAAUAAGUCGCCACCUACCCACCACCUGCGAGUUGCAGCGACGACGCGCUCCACCAUCCACACUAUGAUCCUUCUCCAGCAAAAUUCCCCGCACAAUCCCAAACACCGUUCUCUAAUAAAUAAUUUUAUCUUUUAAACUAUUUUUUUAGUCUUAUUUUAGUACAAAAAAUUAAAAAUUUUCUUAAUAAAUUCAUUAAUUGUUAUAAUUAAUUGAAUAGUUGCAGUAUAUCUUUUUUUUUUUUGGUUAAAACAUAUGAAUGCAGUAAUUAAUAACUAAUAAUAGAACUGCCAAAGAUCUAACUGAAGAAUUACAAAUUAAUGAGCCACCUAUAAGAAACAAAGAAAGUUCAUGGCCUACUUAAAAAAAAAUAAAGUCAUUUGCACACUAGAAAGUUGCUGUAAAUUUUAUACUAAAUUCAUCUAAGAGUUUACAUAACUUUUUUUGAAUCUUUAGUAUUAAAAAAUAAAGAUGAUAAGAAUAGUGUAAAACAAUAAAAUUUUAAAUGAAAAGAGUGUAAAAUUUAUCACUAUUUUUGAAUGUACAUGCAGUAAUGUUUUUUUUUUUUUUUUUAAAAAAAUGGCUUGUGUUAAGAAGUUUCAGUAUAUUUUUGUUUAUUUUUAUGCUACUAUACAUUUUACCCUUCCUGCUUCCUUUUUGGACUGUUCGAGCUUUCCAUCUUUAUGUAUUCGAAGAUCAGUACUUUAAUUAGGAGAAAAGUAAACUAAGGCUUCAUUUAAAUAUACCGUAUUUCCACCUACACAUGAAACAAGAGUUCCACUGAUAUGUACUUAAUCAGAUCAAACUUUAUUAGAAUUUAUAUAAUCCUCCAUGCUGAGGCAAUUUCUAUUAUUUUAUUCAACUAUCUAACACAUGAUGGAAUCUGCGAGUUGCAAUGUUGUCAGUUCUUUCACAUCGACGCCUUCUUUCUCUUGUUUUGGGGCGGCCGAACGAACAAUGGUUAGAGACCGUGGUCAUAACGUCGAAACGUGGCACGUCUCUUGUGCCUCGCUUUCGUUCACCAUAGUAUGCAACGUGUCAUUUCUAUCCGCGCCGAUCUGUGUUUUGGUGCACAAUACGACACUUGAUCCGAGAAUGGUAAGUUUAUGUUGCGCAUCAUAUUAUAUAUAUAUUAUAAUAUAUAUAAUAAUAUAUAUAUAUAUAUAAUAUAUAUAUAUAAGAGUAGGCUAGAAUAACUUUUAAAGUAUCACCCAAGUGAUACUUGUGUGUUUUUAGCCCUUGGAGAGAGAUGUGAGUUGAAUGAUGGGGGUAGUGGUGGUAGGUGGUGGUAGGUUGGAAUAAUGUUAAUCCAAGGCAUUUGUAAUCAAAAAGUAGAUCCAUAUGGCUAAAAAGGUGAUAGCAAUAUGGGGAUGAUACUUGUAAAAGUAUCCUAGAUCAACUCUAUAUAUUAUAUUACUAUAUAAUAGAGUCCGGAUGCUAUAUUAUCUUAGUACGGGGAGCUCCAGUACUAUAGUGUUGUUUCCGAUCUUCGGCGUUUAAAUCACGAUCCACACCGUUAAAAACUGAUCUAGGGUAUUAAAGUUUUUAGAAAUAAAAUUUAUAAUUUUUUUCGACAUAGGUUUACUUUAUGAUCAAAAUAUUUCAAAAUUGUCAAUUUUCAACGGCUAUUAUGACGAGUUUGGAGUUUAACAGUGUAGAAGAAUUUAAAUUUCUUCAAAUUUUGAUAGAAAAUUCUUUAAACUAAUAUAGAUUAAGGUUACAUUUCUUGAUCUUGAAUUUAAAAGUCUCUAUACUCAAAUUUUAAAGAGUAUUCAAUUCCCACCGUCCAUUGACAUAAUUUAUUUACUAAGUAAACGUAUUGAAAAAACUAAAAUUUUAUUCAUAAGAACUUCAUAUACCCUAGAUCAUAUUUAAUGGUGUAGAUCGUUGAUUUGAAUGCCUUAAGAUCGAAAACAACACUAUAGUACGGGAGCUCCCGUACUAUAGAUAGUUAUAGUAGCCCUAAUUAAUAUAUAUAUAGUAAUUAAUUAAUAUAUAUAUAGAGUCCGGCUACUAUACUGUCGGUAGCACGGGACCUCCCGAGCUACCAAGUUGUUUUUGAUGAUGCGGCUUCCAAAUCGACGAUCGGCUCCGUUAGACUUGAUAUAUACUAUUAAAAGUAUUUGGAAAUUAAGGGCUUGUUUGGUUCAUCUAUUUUGGAUAUGAAAUGGGAAUUGGUUUAAUCAAAUCCGGUUAAUUUUGUUUGGUUCACAGGAAUCGGUUUGGGAUUCCUAUUCCGAACUGGAAUGGGAAUGUCCCAUUAGCCUUCAACUUGAUUUCGGUCUUCUAGCCCGGAUUAAGAUUUUAUUUCCGAAGUCCACUAAGCUACCAAGGCCCAUGCAACCAUCUCACCCUCCUCUUCUGUAUACAAUCUCUUCACCCCUCUCUCAUCAAAAAAAAAAACCCCUAUCCUCUCUCAAAACUUUAUCCCUAACACACAUCAAUAAAAAAUUUUAAAAAUAAAUUUGAUAUUUUUUUUGAAAAACUUAUUAGAGAAUAGUAUUAUAUUUUUCAUAAAUUUUAAAUAAUAUGAAUUUAUAUUUGAGAGUAGAAUUAGUAUUAUGGUAUUCUAUAAUUUUUUAGUUUAUACGAACCAAACAAUGGAAUGUGAAUAAUUCAUUCUAAUUUUCAAUCCACAAAUGACCCAAACGUUUUGGGGGGAGUGAGCCAAUCCAAUUACCAUUUCAAUUCAUUCCCAUUCCAUUAUCACAUUCCAAUUCCACCCUUGAACCAAACAAGCCCUAAAUUUCAUAAUUUUUCGACAUCAUUUGACUAGUGAUCAAAAGAUUUCAAAAUUGAUAAUUUUAAUGGCCGAUGUGGUGUGUUUGUGAGUUUAACGGUGUAAAACAAUCCAAAUCGGAUGAAAAUUUAUAGAAAUUUUUUUUCACUAUUUAGAGUAAGAUCAGUAUAUCUGAUCUUGAAUUUAAAUCUUUUAUCAUCUUUUUUAAUGAGAUUUUUAUUUUCAGCCGUUCAAUUUUAGACUAUUUGUUUGAUAGGUAAAUGAUAUCGAAAAAUUUUGAAAUUUAGUUUUUAAAUAAUUUUAAUAGUGCAGAUCAAGUCUAACGGAGCCGAUCGUCGAUUUGGAAGCCGCAUCAUCAAAAACAACUCGGUAGCACGGGAGGCCCCGUGCUAUCGAUAGUAUAGCAGCUGGACUCUCUCUCUCUAUAUAUAUAUAUAUAUAUAUAGAGAGAGAGAGAGAGAGAGAGAGAGAGAGAGAGAGAGAGAGAGAGAGCGAACUAGGCUCCUAUUCUUUUGAAAGUACGGGAGGCCCCGUGCUUGUAAUUGAGUUAGAAUAUUUUUAGAAGUAUCAUCUCUUUGGUACUUCUAGAUUUCUAGUCCUUAAAUCUACUUAUUGAUUACUAAUAACUCUUGGAUCAAACACUAUUUCACUUACCACCACCUGCUACCACCUACCACUAUCAUCCCAACCUUACAUUUCUCCAUCAAAGGUUAAAAACUCAAAAAGACUAACUUCUUGGUGCUUUUGAGAGUAUUCUAGUUCAACUUUAUAUAUAUAUAUAUAUAUAGAGAGAGAGAGAGAGAGAGAGAGAGAGAGAGAGAGAGAGAGAGAGAGAGAGAGAGUCAGCUAUUAUUUUAGGAGGAUAGAGUUUUCUCUCCUUGUAAGCUGUUUUAGAUUACAGAAAUUGAUCAUUGAAACAGUUUAAGUUGAUUUAAAAUAUUUAUAAUGUCUAAAAAAUAAAUUUUAUAUAUUUUAAAAUUUGUUAUCAAAUUCAUUGAAGAGUUAAAAAACAAACGGUUAAAAAAGAAUAAACUUAUGAAAAUAGAUGUUAGAUUUUUUCAAUUUAUGAUUAUAGUUGUCAAACGUUAUUUAAAUAUAUUAAAAAAAAAUUUAUCAAAAAUUUAAGCAGUUUGGAUUGUUUUAUAUUAUUAAACAAGUAAACGGCUCAUAUAGAUUAUAAAAAGUUGUCGAUUUUGUGAUCUUUCGAUCACUAUGUAAAUAAUUUUUAAAAUUUAUAAAAUUUAGUUUCUAAAUAUUUUAAAUACUCUAUAUUUAUUUUAAUGAUUUCGAUCAUCGAUUCGAAAUUUUUAUCAUUUAAAUGAUUUAAGAGAAUAAAAACAUUCAUCCUUCUAAAAGAAUAAUAGUUGAAUUCUAUAUAUAGAGAGAGAGAGUUGGGCUGGAAUAUUAUUGAUAGUAAAAAGUUUGUUUUGUUAUCAAAUUUUUAACUCUUUGAUGAAAAAUUAUAGGGUUAGAAUGAUAAUAGUUUUUUUAUGGUUGAGUGGUCAUCUUAGGGUUGAGUGGUUCCCACUGGGUUAUAAUAUUUAAUCCAAUGAUUAGAAAUGAUGAAAGUAAUUAAUUCAAUAGCUAAAAAUUUGAUAGCAAAAAAGGUCUUUUGGUAUCAAUAGUAUUCUAACCCAACUCUCUCUCUCUCUCUCUACAUAUAAUUGCUCUUAGAAUUUUUUUAAUAGUAUUUAGAUUACUUUACUAUUAAAUUUAUAAUUUUUUAAUAGGUGGUUGAUAGAAUAACAUGAUCUAAGCAGUGAAAUUAGCAAAAGUAUAGACUUAAUAAUAAAAACCUUAAUAGUAUCAAGUACUUUAUGCUAUUAAAAAUAUUUCGGUCGAUCUCUCUCUCUCUCUCUCUCAAUAUAUAUAAUAUUCUAAGAGAGAAACGUUAUAAAGUUUUAUUCAUUUAUCAGUAUGUCGGGAUACAAAGUAGAAAAGUAUAGAAAGACGAAAGUAAGUUGUUUACAAAAAGCAAUUGAACUAGAUAUUUAAGAAAGAUACGCAGCCAAGACUAAUGAAAACACGAUUAAUUGAGCUAGAUAUUUAGGAAGGAAAGCCAACAGUCUAGUAGCUAACCGACCAAUUGACAGGAGAAUUAUGCUACUACAAACAAUUCUAGAGCUGCUUCAAAACAUAUCAAUGUUGACUAACCUUUGAAUUUGGUAAAAUAAAAUGGUUGAAUAAUGGAUCCGAAUCCCAAAAAUAAUAAAGCUUUUGAAUAGGCAUGAAUGAACAAAUGGAAUAAACUAGUUCAAUACCUUGAGCUAAUGUAAUACAACCCAAACAAUGUUCUCAAAAUUUCAUAUAAUUUCAAUAAAUUGAAAUACGAUUCAUUUUUUGUAUUGGUAAGUAUAGCUAUUACUGUUAAAAAUAUGCAACCAAUUCAAUUAAAGCAUACAGAUACAAUAUCUACAGGUUUCAAUUAUGAUUCGGUCCAACCAGCUUCACGCUACUUCAAACAUGACUCGGUCCAACCCAGCGUCACGCCAUUUCGAACAUGACUCGGCCCACAUGGCCUUCAGCCACAGAGCAGGAUACUGGUUCAUUUAAACUAACAGAUUAUUUUGUAUUUAUUUGUAUUGGCUUAAAUGGGUCAACAUCCUGCCCUGUGACUAGACGUUAAGUGGGCCGAAUCACAUUCGAAAUGGCGCGAGGCUGGAUUCGAAAUGGCGCGAGGUUGGAUUGAGGCGAGUUAUGUUCGAAAUUGUAUAAGACUGGAGAAGCCGAAUCACAAUCAAGAUUCGUGAACGUUGUAUUUAUAUGUUUUAAGUGAAUUAAUUGUAUAUUUCUAACAGCUCGAGUUUUUGAAAUUAAUGGUUUGCGCCAACGAUCCGACAAUUUGUACUAUAACGCAUACAUUAAAAAUGAUGUUUAAUUCAUGCCAAAUCCAUAUUGAGUCGACCUUGUUGUUGUUCAAUGCGUAGAGGAAUCACACCAAUCCAUUCCAAACUUCGUGGCUAACCUCUACUGCGAUGACAAUACUAUAGGGGAGGUCUUGCGGAAAGGAAGAGCCACUAGCUGCGCAGAGAGGUCAGCAGGGGUCAUGGAGCUUCAUCGAAAGGAAAGCACCAUAAGAAAUGGCACAAAAGGUAUAGACAUACCAAAUUCACCUCGGUUCACUGAUUCCGUAAGGUCGAUACGUGACAAAAAAGGCCGGCAAUAGAGUAGAAAGUGUAGAACGCAGCGGAAGUAUUCGUUCGUACUUUUUUGCGGAAGCGAUUCACGCUACAACACGAUGAAUCCGGAUCGUAGAGGUUGAUUCACGUGUCAUUGGAUCGUCUUUGAAGGUCUUCUAACGCUCCGAAUCCGCGGUGGAUCGAACUACAAACGAGCACGAUCGCAAACCCACCGUUCAAAACCUUUUAGAAUAAUAGGUUAAUGGAGGAUGUGCUUUUUCUCUUUUGUUUUCUUAUUUUCUUUUUUUUACGUUCAUCAUUAUAUGUGGGAUCGCCCAUAUAUUUAUAAGGGAUUUCAAAAUUCUAAUAGCGUAAGAAAAAAAGCCAAAUCGGUUAUUAAUUGUUAUCCCAAUAUGAUUAGAUUUUAUCUCUAAAUAGCUUUCUAAUUUAAAAGCGAGAUUAAUUUUAAUCUAAUUAGAUAACAUAAUAACCGUCGAAUCGAGCCCGAUUAUGGGCGCACCCGAUUCGAUUUAACCGAAUGCUAACAGAAAGGAUGUGGUAAAAGAACAAAAGGGACAGAGGAGGAGGUAGAACGUCCCUUUCUACGCUCGCCGUGGCUGCCGAAAAAGGGGCCGAAGAGGGGAAGAAAGGAAGACAUUGGGAGGUUCCAGAGACAAAAUUUAGCACAUCUUUUUUUAAAAAACAUACUGUAUCUGAACAUUUUAAUUUCAAGAGUAAUCAAUUACCUUUUUUUUCUGGAAAAGGCCCAUAAACUUGGUUAGUAUCUAUUAAAUUUCAAAACUUCACCUUUAUGCUUCUUCAAUUCUCAGGUGUGCAUUUGCUUCUCCCCAAAAGGAUACUAUUUUACUUAUGUAUCUUAAUGUUCCAUUUUAUGUGUUUUUUGAGACCAAAAUCACGGUCUAUUCGUUGAAAAUGUACUGGGUCCGGGUUCAACAGUGCGCCAACCACGGAGAUCAGCGGCCCUGCCGAGAUCAAUCGUAAAUAACACUUUGAAUGGUGUCAUGUCGUGGAGCACAAUUCCUGCGUGCAGCCGCCGUGAUGGACCAAAAUUGGUACUCUUACUACCUUCUUCCCCGUUGACUCUGCAUUUCAUGGUACGAAUUUAAACCUUAUUUGGCACAGAUUACGGCUUUUCAAUUUGUCGGCUGAUACUCUGUGUUGCAUGGGUUCAGCUCAGGUUUAGGGGUCAAGUUUUAGAUUUUCUAGGAAUAGCAUAAAAGUGGUCAGCUUUUAUCACUCCAUUGUUGUUUUGAAAAGGAUUAUUUUAGGAGAUAAGAGAACAAUCAUAAAAUUGGAUACAGAAGUUUUAAGGAAAAUCUAUUGAUUUGUUUUGUAAGAAACCCAUGUCCACUUCUAGAUUUUAUAUAGAACACAUUUGAUAAGUUAGAUUUCAAUUUUAAAACUUUUAUCACACAUUUUUAGAGGUGUGGAGUAUACGAUGUAUAUUUUUUACACACCUGGAAUUCUCUUCCUAUAGUAGGCCUAGGCCCAAUGGCCUCUGUGAAUGAAGUGUAAUAUUUAUCAUAACAAGGGCCCCGACUAUUAGGCCCUGUUUGGCCAAGCUAUUUAAAAGUGAUUUUUAGCUGAAAAUCACUUUUAGGUCCAAUAGAGUGUUUGGUAAAGGUAUUUUAAAAAUCUGAUUCUGCUUUCUACAAGUUGAAAACUGAUUCUUCAACUCCCAAAAGCAAAAGCUAAAAAAACCUGCUUUUCAAAACAGACUCUCGUACAAGCUGAAACCCACUUAAAUUUUUUUAUGAAAAUACCGGAAUUAUCCUUAAACAAUCAACACAAUUCUUUCAUGUCCUUUUAUAAUUAUAAUACUAUCUCUCCCAUUACUCUUUCCCAUUACUCACAGCCAUCUACUCUCAAAAAAAAAAAAAAAAAAAACACUCCUCUCCUCUCUUCUUCAUCUAAUCACUUUUCUCUCCUCUCUUCUUCAUCUCUCUCCCCUUAUCCUCUCCGGCGACGUCUUUUUCUGCCAGCGAGUUUUUUCUCCGGCGAGUCUCCGACGAAUUUUUUUCCGACGAACCUCCAAGGUACUCCAUUUUUUUUUUUCAAGGAGAAUGUUUUUUUUUUUCAUACAGAUUUAUCUCCCUCCCUCUCUUGAUUUCUCUCUUUAAUCCGCCCCCGGCACUAGAUCCGGCCCCAGAUCCGCGCCCGGCACCAGAUCUGGCCCCAGAUCAGCUCCGGCGUGAUCCGGCAAAGACGGAUCCCGCCGGCUUGGCCGGAUCCGCGCCGACGAGCUCCGGCUUCGCCGAAAUUAGUCGAAAUGAUGCAGAGAUGAACUCUUCUCGAGUUCCCUGUGUACAAGGAGUCCAUUACUACCUAAGGACAUAAAGAGCCAAUUACUUAUGCAUUGAAAAAUAUCACACUAUGGGCACUUAAGUAGAGAUGAUUGUCCCUCCAAAUGUGUAAGGGGAUGUUACAAUUCUGGCGUGUAGUGAUUGAAGAAGAGAAUCGGCCUCUUGUAUUAUUUUAGCACCUGGAGGUUUAUGAGGGAAAUGAUUAAGAGUAAAAUAUGGUUAAUAAAUUUUGAUUAUUUAACGUCGGAUUAGCAAAUGUGACUUGGUGGAUUUUUGUAGUACUUGUAAUAUAUGUAUCCUGCUUAUGGAAAAGAGGAAUAUUUAGAGCAAAUAGCUUCUUUUGCAUAUAAUAAUAACAUCUAUUAAUGUUAAAUAGCAUUACAAAAUCACUUCAGCAAAAAAAUUUACCAAAUGGUUUUCUAAAAUCACUUCAGCACAAUCACUUUUCUAUUAGACUCAGCCAAACGCUCUACAGCUUUUAACAGAAAUCACUUUUCCAAACUAAAAUCACUUUUGCAGAAAUUACUUUUUCAGAAGCUAGGCCAAACGGGUCCUUAAUCAAAAUCUACCGUAUUGAGAUUACUUGGUCUCGGGUAUAGGUAUCAUUUUUCUGGUCUGUGUUGUUCGUGGCUUGCUAACGGUAGCAGAAUGCGUAAGCAUAAUAGUAUCAAGUCUAAUAUCUAGUUGAUGGGACAUGAAGUUUGGCUAAACCUUGGAUUCUCAACAUAUAAAUAGUGACUUCUUGAUAUCAUUUGUCCCUCUUGUGGAUGGAAUGAGACAAUUCGGGCUUACUACUUGGGUUCUAGUUAAUUCACCCAAUACAAAGCAAGCAUCCAGGGGUUGAACAACUUGUCUAAUCUGCACAAUUAGGUAACUAUGCACUCUUCCUUUCACGUGCACGUCAUCUGCGAUACCAGCUGAAAUCAUGAUGACUAAGCUCGCUAGAAUCUUAAGAAGGCCUCAAAUUCGGAGUUUCCCUGGGCCCCAGGGCUUCAUAAGUCUGUUGGCCCAAUUAGACAUGGGCUUAUGUUGUUUUGUUUAGGCUAUCGGCGGAGAAAAGAGAGACUGGAACUACAGCGACACAAGGCUCAACCCAACUCCUCUCUUCGAUAGUGGGCCUUGUUGAGAUAGGAUUUAAUCCAGAUCUGUGGGCUCAAGUUUCUGUUGUUCUACAUCUUCAUCUCUGCGGACAAUGAUUCCUAAGAGCGGAGAUUUCGUCUGCUUAUUGGGCACAAAUUUUCUGUGCAAAAAGGCAAAACUCUGUGGGAUGCAUCCAAAUCGUUAGAUUGGUCGACUCUUAGCGCAGUUUAGGUAUAACUUGUUGAAUUUUCUUUCUUUUUUUUUUGAAAAGAAGAUAGCAUGCUACCGCUUCAUUUAUUAAGAGAAUAAACUGAGCUACAAGCAGAUCCAACUGGGCCGAAAAAAAAAAAAAAAAAAAAGACACUAGCAAAAAAGAUCCCGGGCGUCCCUAAACUUGUUGAUUGAUGACAAAUUCACGUUUUAUUCAGAAGAAUCUAGAACACCAAGUUAUAGACAACACGACAAGUCCUCUCAAAGAGUGUAUGUUACUAGUCUAACUAUCAUUUUCCUUGCAUUAAGUUUGGCCACAUGGCGCCCGUCGAAAAGGAAGGGUGGGUAGACGUUGAUGCACAUCAAACCUUCCUCAUAUCUUACGCUGCUUUCCACGUCCAUCAUACGCAACAAAGAGUCCGAUGGUUGGUUGGCAUAUAAGAUUUCAAAAUUCAAAAUUCAGUUGUUUUACAUUUUUAACUAAAUUUAUUUAUAAAAAAAAAGAAUGGAGCUGUAUUUUGUUUUUUUUUAAUUCAUUCUAAACGCAUGGAGUAAGGAACUUGCUCGUGUUAGCUGCGUUAUAUAUGCGAACAAAAUUUGCCUGCAUUGUUUGCGCCAACUCAAUCCAAGUGCCCCGUCUCCUGCCUGGGUCGAAACUUUGACUAAACCACACUCUUCGGAUACCCCCAAAGCAAUCACUCCAUCCAUCACCUAAAGGAGCCGAUGAUCAGAUGGCCACGUUACUACUUGCGCGUUACGAAAUGUGAUGAGUAAGGAAAAAAUUCUAGAAUGCAACUGGUAUAUUGGUGAUACGGCGUAACAAAUCAAUGAAAAUUUUUUUUUUAGAAAUAUAUAUUCCAUCAUGAUUAUAAAAAAGUAUUUUUAUUGUACUUUUGUUUGAAAAGAAGAAAUAUAAUUGGCUUGUUACUGAUCACGUGGUGCAAGUGUGAUAGUGUAGAAUUCCUCUGAGUAAGGGCGCGCAUCCUCCCUCUCAUUUCAUGGGGAAAAAAUUAAAAAAAUUAAAAGAAAAAAAAGAAAGAAAAAAGAAAAGGAACAAAGCUCGUAACGGUGAAAAAGGUCUGCAAAUUAUUGCAGAGUGAUGAUUAAAAGAGGGACAGCGCAGGUUCUCAGGAGGAAUAACUUACUUGUUGGGCACACAUGUGGUUGUCCUUCGCACGAUAACUCCUCGCAACGCGUCGCUCAAUGGCUAGAUGCUGUUAAAAAUCUCUUUGAAUCCGUCGUUCAUCAUGCCUCGAGAUUCGGACGGCGUGCUUUUAUUAAGAUUUGGUCCGAUGUGCUGUGAUUCGGGCGGACUGUGAGUCUUGUGAAUGCCUCGAUCAGAGGUAGAGGUGGGUGGGUCUCGGGCCUCUCGGCAGAAUUGGCUCAGCAAAAUUGGCUGCGUUAUACCAAAAACUCUAGAAUUUGUAAGCCCUCUCGCGCCACCUCCCUUCCACAAUCCACACCCACCCCUGUGUGGCUUAUAAGAUGCCGUGGCGUGUCACCCGAACCCGAUCGGAGCAACCAACUAGUGUUUAAUCAGCGGUCUAUGGGUCUUGCGUUGCGUCGCAUUCUUUUCUUCGCCAACCCCCGACUUUCCUACUCCUCCAUGCAUAUAUGAUAUAGCAUUGGAUACACUCCCAAAUGUCCAAUCUCAAUCAGAUCUAUAAUAUUAUUUAGUCAUUCCCCACAGCCCAAGUCCCCACUCCACGAGGCUUCUCGCUUCUAAACACCUUCCUUUGCCUACUCCACUUUGCUGCUUAUGUUUAUGCCAGAGCCACACACACACACACACACACAGAGCUGCUUGGGUAGUAGUAAAUUCUGAGCCGAUUAUGGCUCCGGCGAACUCCACCAGGGCCACUACCACCACCAGUCAGUCGAAAAUGAAAAGCCUCCGCCGAGGACAAGAAGAGAAGUGCUUGGCUAAUAGUAAAUUCCAGCAACAGAGGCCGGCGUCCUUCCACAGCCGGGGGACGGAGCUCUGCGGCCACGUUCGACAGCCCAAGACCCACCGGGACCUGCUCGAGAGACGGAGAAGGGGCGCAUCUUCUGGGGAGGGGGUCUGCGGUAGAGUCAUCGACGGUAGUAUAUAUUCUGAGGCCAUGAGGAGAGUGCCGGCGAAGGUGCUGGUGAACGUGACCGUGCUGCGGAGUCCCGGGCCGGUGCAGGUGAUGGCGUCGAUGGAGUGGAGCGUUGCGGAUUUAGUGGCGGCGGCCAUGCAGCUCUACGUUAAAGAAGGCAGGCAGCCGCCGCCGCCCACGACGGCGCCCUCUGCCUUCAGCCUCCACUACUCCCAGUUUAGCCUGGAACGUAUGCCCUGCAGCCUCAAUUCUAACGUCGCUAACAUUCCGACCCAAUAUAAUAAAUAAUACUUUUAAUUUAUUUUCUCCUAAUUAAGCUUAAAUUUGUACUGCAUAUUUUAGGUUUGGAUCCAAAGGAGAAAUUGAUAGAGUUGGGCUCCAGGAACUUCUUCCUCUGCCCCAACUCCGCCCCUGCAGCUUCAUCAGAUGCUGCUGCUGCAGGCGCUUUCUCCUCUGCUUCAUCUUCUUUCGCUUCAUCGCUAUCAUCCUCGUCGUCAUCUUCAUCUUCUUCCUCUUCAUGCUCAAGGGAAGCUUCAGAGAAGGCUUCUAAGAUUGGCAUGACUUGGCUUAAGUUCAUAGAUUUCUCAUUGUAGGCUAAUUGAUCUUCUUGUUUGUAUCUUCUAUACAUGAUUAGCUAUCGCACUUGGCAUACUUAUUUGCGAGGUCUUGACGCGAAGUAUACAUGGAGCCUUCCAUACCACGCAGAAGGGAUCAUUGUCUGGUUAGGAUGUAGCUAGAUUGUAGUUGUCGCUGUGUUAUGCAUAAACGUCUUUUGUACAUAUAUAUUCGCCGGUUGGGUGUACUAGAGUCGAAUCAAUAAUAAGCUCUGAGCUGAUUGCGAAAUAACGGAGUAGCUUAUUCCCUGCCUCGUGCAGAUACUGUGAAUCUCUCAAUACGCCAGUGAGAUGGCUAGAGUAUAUGUUCAUUAAAUAACUGAUUAAUCCGCGUUUCCUUUUAUAAUAAUUAUGCAUUGUAGUUUAAUCCGUGUUUCCUUUUAUAAUUAUGCGUUGUGAACUACAAAUUGGAGAUGCCCCUAUGAUUUAUUAAAUUUAUAUUAAUUGUGAGCCUGAGAGAUCAAACAGCUGGUUUGCCCGAGAGGUUAAGGGGGAAGACUUAAGAUCUUCUGCACAUAAGUGCGCAUGGGUUCGAACCCCAUAGCCAGCACACAAGUGUGAUAUGUAAUUGUUUUUAAUUUUUAAACUGUCGUUGUCUUUCUUUUUUUGUCUGUCAUUUUGGUUGGUUCCAUUGGUUCAUAUUUUGAAUGGAUUGUAAACUUGUUAGUCAAUUAUGUAAAAGUGUAUCAAAUAUUUUGAAAAGAAAAUUCCAAUAAUUUGACAUUCAAUAUUUUUUUUUUUUAAACUUUUAAUCGUCCGUCGUUGUCAUUUUUCUCUAUCAUACUAGUAGGUUCCAUUGGACCAUUGGUUCAUUUUUAUUGAAUUGUAAAAUCAUAAGAGAUUAGUACGUGCAAGAAUUUCAAGUGAUUUUGACAAUCAACAAAUCUUCAAUAAUAAUAAUAAUUAAAAGAAGUUAUAUAUGCACAGUGAAUUUGAAAAGGUCGUUCCACAGUUGUAGGGGAACCACGACGAAUCUCCCCUUUAUCUGCUGGUUAAUUAUUUGCUUCAACAGGGUUUUUAUUUUAGAAUGAGAGGGAGCUGGAGAUGGUCAGGGAGAAGGAGAGGGAGCUGGAGAUGGACCUCAACGUGCUCCUCCCCACAACUGAAUGGGUACAAGCUUGGGUGCAUUGAAGACGUGGCUGCUGCGAGACUGGGUGCUAACAACGGUACUCCUAGCAUCGACAAACCAAAGAUUGACAGGCGGGGGAAGAGGGUCGUAAAAAGGGUAGCUUGGGCGGAUGAAGUAGGUGGAACUUUAUUAUCGAUCCGGGAGUUCCAAGAGGAGUCCGAGCUGACACCAACUGGGGUAGGGAAGGGCAGGGUUCGAGAACUGGGGAGAGAAGUUAAUGUCAAGACUUUGAGAGAGAAGAUAGGCAUAUCUUUCCAGGGAUUCGAUAAGAAAGGUAGAGGCAGGGUUGCGGGUGACAGCGGUAGCUCUGCAUUUACUGUGGGUCGCUCUUAUAAGGAGGCUCUGCUCAGGGACAUCAGCACUCUACCACCCAAGACCCCACCCACCCCUUGGCUCUCCGGGGAUCGGCGAAGUAAGCAACGUUUCGAACGUAGCAGCAACUCCAGAAGGUGUUUCAGGUGCUUGGCUUCGGACCACCUCAUCGGGGAGUGUCGCGACCCGGUUAAGUGCCUUCGGUGUCGCAAAACCGGCCAUCGGGCUUUCGACUGCAGGGAGCCAGACUCUCGAAGUAAGGUCAGUAUGAAUAGGGCCUUUCGCCAGCGUGAGCGAGUUCCGAAGGUGUACGUUCCGUAUACGGAGGAGUAUCUAAGAAGGAGAGAGUAUCGCCGGAACGCGGUGCUUGCGGAUGUCAUCCCACCGGCCAACUUGGGUUCGGACCCCCUACAAACCAUUGCGAGCGCUUUGGCUCGUCGUUUCGGCGGAUACACGCAGGACUUCGCUGUCGCUCGAUAUCGUGAUCGAGACUACGCUAUCUUCCUUCCGGAAUGGGUUUCUGCGGAAGUGCUGGCUCGAAGGGAGGUCCUCACCCUUGAUGGGUUCUGGAUCAGAUGCUAUGAGUGGGGACAGUACCGGACUGCGAGACCACACAGAGUCUGCUUUAAGGCUUGGAUCCGGCUCAUCAAUUUACCGUUCGAGUGUUGGACGGUCGCUCGUGUCGCCGCUCUAGUGGGAGGGUUCGGUCGGUUCAUCAAAGCUGACGAUACAACCAAGGCGAUGACCGACCUCCGCGCGUUUCGGUGCCAGAUCAACCUUGAUUCUCUCCGGGAAAUCCCUCAGAAUUUAUCUAUUGUGCUGGGAGAGGAGAUCUUCUCAGUGAUGGUGCAUCUGGAGAGUUGGGAGCGGGUCGCGGCUGGCAAUGGAGGCGAACCGCCGGCACCUCCAAGAGACGGGGCUGAGAUGGGGAACCAGGACCCUGGUCCUGGUGACAGGAGGGGUCGCGCCCAGGGUAACAACGGCCAAGUUCGGGCGGACGAGGAAAUGGGAGAAGGGGCCGGGGAACUCGUCGACGCCGGUUCGGUGAAUUCUGUUAACAGGGUCCUGUCGGCUUCGUCGCUUCCGCGAAUAUCGGGCAGCACGUUACCUUGGACGGCGUACGGAUCUCACCGGAGCAGAUCUCACCGGAGCACGCCCGAGGACGGAGGGGGAGCGGUCCGUUGGGUGGAGCGUCUCGGCACAGUGCGCGAGGCCGCUGCUCCGAAACCCGAGACUCGCGAGGCCGUUGCUCCGAAACCCAAGACUCGCUCUGGGAAGGUCGCUGCCCCGCUGUUGGAGCAGGCGGCGCGGCGCCACCUUGUCCCCUUCCCCAAGAUCUCCUUCCCUGCGCAAUUGAUCUCGGACCCGCCUCGAGCCUCGUGCAGAAAAUCAAUGAUGGCGUCGAGACAGGAUGGCGGCAAGGCAUUUAUUGGGUUUGGUCAACUCUCGGGGAUUACCAAACCCAUAUUGCUUUUCUUUUGGUGGUCAGGGUCUCACGUGAUGCUACUCAAGUUGGGGGGAAGCCCUGUAGCUCUUUUUGGACCGACCUUCAGGGCCCAACUACCGAAUCCAUUCUGGGCUUCACUUUUGGGGCCGGUUGCGGGCGUCGUGUCCUCUCUCCACCUUUCUGGUGGCCUGUCGCUGCGAGCCACGGUGGGAUCUACUGGGAGUCGAUUAACCCAGCGGACAGGCCUGUCCGACACAAUUGACGCGGGUGGGGUUUUAUUUCAGGAAGCUAUGAGUGGUGUAAGCAACAGGUUUUCUGAAGAUCUCGAGGAUGCCCUGUUGAUGGAGAGGGAUGGUACGACGCACAGUCUUUCCUAUCCCAACGAUGCCACUGUUGAGGAUCCGCCGGUAUGGUCGCGUGAUGUUGUGGUGGCGGGUAAACUCGAUAGAGGGAUCGGUAGCAAUUGUGGGAUCGGGGACGGCCCGCGUACCAGCGCACGCCUCGCGACAAGGGAGAAGGGGUCCAUUCUUUCCAAAGCUAUUUCCAGGAAGGCAAGACUGAGGGGUGGUGGCGCUAUUUUCGUGGACGAGCUAUCUCCUAGGAAGAUAAUUCAGAAAAGUCGGCUGUGCGGAGUGAUUUUGGAUGGAACUGAGGCAGCUCACCUUGCCCAGUUCAUGAAAGAUUGUGCCUAAGUGGGCCGCGUGGUGUGUAGGGAGUGGACACCUUUUGGGUCUUUUUUGGGGGUUGGUGUCUCUUGUUUGUGAUGUUAAGGGUUUUAUGUUGGAAUGUUAGAGGGCUUAAUGACCCUUCUAAACGUUUUGUGGUUAGGGAUGUAAUUUCGAAGGUUCGUAAUGUUAUUGUGUGUCUCCAAGAAUCGAAAGUUAACCACGUUUCUGGGUCUUUCCUUCGUAGCUUCGCCGGAUCUUUUCUUGACAAACGUGUCUAUAUCGAAGCCAACGGGGCCUCGGGGGGUUUGAUUACUUGCUGGAGCUCCCGCAUUUUCUCCUGCCAGGAAGUUAUUGUUCGCCGCUAUUCCAUUACUGUCCUUUUAACUCUGCUUAGUAACGGUGCUAGACUCUUCGUGACUAAUGUUUAUGGACCGGCCACCUGGGAUGGAAAGGAGGAAUUUUACUCGGAAUUGUUGCACUUGAAAGGUAGUUGUAAAGGGAAGUGGCUGCUAUGUGGGGAUUUUAAUAGCACGCGAGGCCAAGAAGAGCGACAAGGGAAGACAUGGAGUGCGCGAGCAACUGAGUUAUUCAACACACUAAUUAGGGACCUGGAACUCCUUGACCUCCCUAUGUCUAACCAAAAUUUUACUUGGUCCAAUAUGCAACGAAGCCCGUCGCUUGCUAAACUGGACCGCUUUCUUGUCUCGACAGAUUGGGACCAGGAUUUUCCCCUGUCGAAGGUCAGCGCUCUCCCAAGAGUGACUUCGGACCACUGCCCCAUUCUACUCUCAAUUGACAGAGACAGCCCCAGAGUGAAGAAGACUUUUAGGUUCGAAGCUGCAUGGCUACUCCAUGAUGAUUUUUUAACCAAAGUGCCUGCCUGGUGGCGAGAGGGGGCGGAGAAACAGUCGGCAGUACUGACCUUCACAGCUAAACUGAGGCAUUGUAGAAUAAGAAUUAAAGAGUGGUGUAAAAAGGAGUUUUAUAGUAUCAAGGGCCAUAAAUCCAAGAUUAUGGAGGAAAUACUGGAGUUUGAUAACGAGGAGGAGAAGGGCGACUUAACGAGGGAAGCUUUUGAGCGUAGAGAAGAACUGAAAGCUACGCUACUAGGGGUGCUCAAAGAUGAAGAAGAAUUGUGGAGAACGAGAGCCAAACAACACUGGCUUAAAGAAGGAGAUAGCAAUUCGAAAUUCUUCCACGCUAUAGCGAAUGGCAGACGGAGAACUAAUAGGAUUGAUACGUUGGAAGAGGGAGAAACAGCGUACCACUCUGAAAAGGACAAGAAGCGACACUUACACCGAAUGUUCAAGAAGCUUUUCACGCCAGAAGUUUUAGCCCCAACCUCUUUUGGGGACUGGAGCGAGCUUUUCAGAUCAAGGCAUAUUGACACUAACUCCCUAGCUCGUUUAUCGGGGACGUUCAGUGUUGAGGAAAUUAAAAUAGCUGUCUUCCAAUUGGGAAGAGAUAAGGCACCGGGGCCCGACGGUUUCCCAAUGAGUUUCUAUCAAACCUUUUGGGACACGAUCCACGUCGACUUACUGAACCUCUUCCACGAUUUGUUUGAGGGUACGUUAUCCACCGAUCCUAUUGACUACGCCUACAUCCGUCUCAUCCCUAAGAAGGAGGGAGCUAAACGUGUGAGCGAAUUUAGACCCAUAAGCCUUCUCAAUGGGAUCCAGAAGAUCAUAUCUAAGGUCUUAGCCAACCGAUUGGAGACUGUUAUGAGCGAUCUUGUAUCCCAUUCACAAUCUGCCUUCCUGAAAGGGAGAAAUAUCACUGAUGCCUUCGUAAGCGCCCGGGAGACUCUAGUUUGGGCAAGCAGGUCGGGGGCCGAGGGAGUCGGCGUUAAGGUGGAUUUCGAAAAAGCUUACGAUAAAAUUUUUUGGCCUUUCCUUUAUCGCUGUCUACACUGGUGGGGCUUCGACGAUAAAUGGUGCAAUUGGAUCAAACUAUGCGUUUGCAAUGCCAAGAUUGCUGUUCUGGUUAAUGAUGAAGUUACCGACUGGAUUAAGAUGAGAAGAGGUAUUAGGCAGGGGGAUCCGCUAUCCCCCUACCUUUUCUUACUUGUGGCAGAAUGCCUUGCCAGACUUACUAAUGAGGCUGUCAUUAAUAACCUUAUAUCUGGCAUUGGCCCUACACAAGCAUCCAGAACCACUCUUAUACAGUUUGCCGAUGAUACCUUUUUCUUCUGUAAAGCCAAGAAGAGAUGUCUGAGAAAUUUAAAAUUUAUUUUGAAACUCUUCGAAUGGGCUUCUGGUCUGAGAAUCAAUAGAGUGAAAUCAGAAAUUUACUACACUGGUCAAGCUGAGGAUGGAGCAGGGUGGAUCGCGCACUUACUCGGAUGUAAAGUGGGUAGCUUACCUACCAAGUAUCUAGGUUUGCCCUUGUCAAUUAGACCUCCUUCCAAGGACGACUGGAGGGUGCUUAUCGGUAAAAUCCAAAGUAGAAUUGAUGGGUGGCAGGGAAAGCUGCUCUCGAGAGGGGGCAGACUUAUCCUUGUUAAUGCAGUACUAACCAAUCUUCCAAUAUACUACCUCUCAAUCUUCAUGGCUCCUAAAUGGGUAAUCAAGUGUAUUGAGACGUUACGAAGAGGAUUCUUCUGGACCGGAGAAGUAGAUAGCCGUGGAAUUAGAUGCCUAGUUUCUUGGCAGUGCGUUUGCCGCAACAAGAAGGAGGGCGGACUAGGUGUUCUUGAUAUCCGUACGAUGAACUGGGCCCUAAUGGUUAAGUGGUGGUGGAAGCUCCAGACUGCACCACAGUUGCAUUGGAACAAGCUUCUCCACGACCUGUUUUACCGUCGAAGAAGGCCAUUGAAGGAGGGAAGAUCUUUCCGACCAGUUUCCUCCUGGUGGAAGGACGUACUUAGACUCAAGGAUAUAUAUAAAUGGGGAGCAUUCUAUACGCCGGGUAACAGGAGUACUAUCGACUUUUGGGAGGAUCGGUGGUGUGGGGAAACAACGCUACGCGCGUCAUUCCCUGUGCUAUUCUUCCUCUCUCCUCAUAAAAACUUGAGAAUAUCCGAAUGUCUGAGUAGUAGCGGCUGGCGCUGGGAUAUGAUUCUGGGAGACGACAGGACUGUUAAUCCCAGCGCGAACCCGGAAGUUUUAGGGCUCAAGGACAGGCUAUCCUAUGCUACUACUACCCAAGGGCAAGACAGAGUGCAGUGGCGUUGGAGUUCUGAAGGACGGUUCACCGUGAAAUCAACCUACUCAACACUGCGUGAUGGAGGCAUGAGGGACACCCGUUUGGGUAAGAUCUGGUCAUUACGCAUACCCCUAAAAGUGAAAGUGUUCUGCUGGCUCGUCCUAAAAAAAAGGCUGCCCACAACUGACAACCUGGUAAAGCGAGGUUGGUCUGGAAAUACGAAAUGUGUGCUGUGUGGCCUGGAAGAAGAGACCGUCGACCAUCUUUUCUCUCAGUGUUUAAUCUCAAGAUACCUUAUAGCAGUUACACAGGAUAACUUCCAUCUGGGAGACCUAGAAGAUGAUGUGCGGGACGUUUGGGACGGAUGGGCCGAAACAAAUAGGUACUCAACUACCUCAGGACGUCGUUUCAUAAGACUUAUAGCAGCCUGGUGGAUCAUCUGGGAUCUACGGAACAGGGCGAUCUUCACGACAGCUCAGUACGAUCCUACAGUAGGUAUUUACAAGAUCAAUCAGUUGUCGGAGCAGUGGAUGAAACUUUCGCCGGACUGAAUCAACUGUAGUUUAGUUUUUUUUUUUUUUUUUUUUUUUUUUUUUUUUUUUUUUUUGCCCUCUCGCCCCUUUCGAGGCCUUGUUGCCUCACCCAUGUAGCUUAAUUCAUGUUCUUACUGAAUGAAGCGGGUAGCAUGCUACCCUUCUCUCAAAAAAAAAUAAUAAUUAAAA